AAUCUGCCAGCUGAGGAGGUGUUCCUGGAUCCCUUGAUGCCCGUGAGGAUGUGCAGAGAGGUUUCAGGUCAGGUAAUCUGCUCCCUGCCUGCCUGCCGGGUGAUAUGACAGCAAAGGGAAGAUCACAGCGUGCUAGAAUGUAAUACCGUGAUCAAUGCAGACUGCCUCUUCUGUCUGAUGCCAGACAGCUUUGAUGAGCACUAUAGAGAGGUUUGCUUUCUCUCAAAAAUCACUUGUUAGUCUGACCUAUUCCGAUGUCCUGUUUUGUCCGCUCAUGAUGCUCUUCUUUUGGAUUAGUCUCUAGGCUACAUAGAAAGGCACUGGGAUAAUGCCUCCCAGGGCUGCUCUGGCACUGCUUCAGCCUGGGCCAUGCCUGAGCAGAGAAAAAGAUAAAGAUAGGUGUUGUGCUUGAAUGUGGCAGCCCAGAUGCUGAUGCUGAGUGCAGCUGGUUCAGUGGAGCUGUUUCUCGCCCUCCUUACCAUCACUGCUUGCAGUCUCCUGUGACCAGCUGUA
rnacentral:lncRNA from 1 species